UACGUAUGGAGCAAGCGUUAUCCGGAUUUACUGGGUGUAAAGGGAGCGUAGGCGGCUCUGUAAGUCUGAUGUGAAAAUUUGGGGCUCAACCCCAAACGUGCAUUGGAAACUGCAGGGCUUGAGUGCCGGAGAGGCAGGCGGAAUUCCUAGUGUAGCGGUGAAAUGCGUAGAUAUUAGGAGGAACACCAGUGGCGAAGGCGGCCUGCUGGACGGUAACUGACGCUGAGGCUCGGAAGCGUGGGGAGCAAACAGG
rnacentral:rRNA from 1 species